rnacentral:rRNA from 1 species
GACGAACGCUGGCGGCGUGCUUAACACAUGCAAGUCGAACGGAAAGGCCCUGCUUUUGUGGGGUGCUCGAGUGGCGAACGGGUGAGUAACACGUGAGUAACCUGCCCUUGACUUUGGGAUAACUUCAGGAAACUGGGGCUAAUACCGGAUAGGAGCUCCUGCUGCAUGGUGGGGGUUGGAAAGUUUCGGCGGUUGGGGAUGGACUCGCGGCUUAUCAGCUUGUUGGUAGGGUAGUGGCUUACCAAGGCUUUGACGGGUAGCCGGCCUGAGAGGGUGGCCGGCCACAUUGGGACUGAGAUACGGCCCAGACUCCUACGGGAGGCAGCAGUGGGGAAUAUUGCACAAUGGGCGGAAGCCUGAUGCAGCAACGCCGCGUGCGGGAUGACGGCCUUCGGGUUGUAAACCGCUUUCGCCUGUGACGAAGCGUGAGUGACGGUAAUGGGUAAAGAAGCACCGGCUAACUACGUG